rnacentral:antisense_RNA from 14 species
AGUCAUGAUUGCUAUUCCUUCGAAAUAGGGAUUGUGAUUAGCGAGGCGCUCGUGUUGCAGCACGGGCGUCUUGCGAU